UGGAUCCAGACUUUGAUUCUGGCUCAGGAUGAACGCUAGCUACAGGCUUAACACAUGCAAGUCGAGGGGCAUCAGUUUGGUUUGCUUGCAAACCAAAGCUGGCGACCGGCGCACGGGUGAGUAACACGUAUCCAACCUGCCUCAUACUCGGGGAUAGCCUUUCGAAAGAAAGAUUAAUAUCCGAUAGCAUAUAUUUCCCGCAUGGGUUUUAUAUUAAAGAAAUUCGGUAUGAGAUGGGGAUGCGUUCCAUUAGUUUGUUGGGGGGGUAACGGCCCACCAAGACUACGAUGGAUAGGGGUUCUGAGAGGAAGGUCCCCCACAUUGGAACUGAGACACGGUCCAAACUCCUACGGGAGGCAGCAGUGAGGAAUAUUGGUCAAUGGACGCGAGUCUGAACCAGCCAAGUAGCGUGAAGGAUGACUGCCCUAUGGGUUGUAAACUUCUUUUAUAUGGGAAUAAAGUUGUCCACGUGUGGAUUUUUGUAUGUACCAUAUGAAUAAGGAUCGGCUAACUCCGUGCCAGCAGCCGCGGUAAUACGGAGGAUCCGAGCGUUAUCCGGAUUUAUUGGGUUUAAAGGGAGCGUAGGCGGAUUGUUAAGUCAGUUGUGAAAGUUUGCGGCUCAACCGUAAAAUUGCAGUUGAUACUGGCAGUCUUGAGUGCAGUAGAGGUGGGCGGAAUUCGUGGUGUAGCGGUGAAAUGCUUAGAUAUCACGAAGAACUCCGAUUGCGAAGGCAGCUCACUGGAGUGUAACUGACGCUGAUGCUCGAAAGUGUGGGUAUCAAACAGGAUUAGAUACCCUGGUAGUCCACACAGUAAACGAUGAAUACUCGCUGUUUGCGAUAUACAGUAAGCGGCCAAGCGAAAGCAUUAAGUAUUCCACCUGGGGAGUACGCCGGCAACGGUGCAACUCAAAUGAAUUGACGGA
rnacentral:rRNA from 1 species